ACGGAACGAAAAUAGGGACGUCUAAAUGGUUUAAACUAAUGUAUAAGUUUUUUCUUUUUUCUUUUUUCUUUUGGGAAUAAAGAGAAGUGUAGGGAUAAUAGUGGUUAGGUUUCUUAUAUUUUAGAAGGUAAUUCACAUUUGUGUAUGCUUAUUCAUUCAAUUUUUUUAUUUUAUUUAUUUAUUUAUUUAUUUUUAUUUUGUAUGCUUAUUUAAAAAUCUUAUUAUUUAAUCAAUAAAAUAAAAAGAUAAUUCCUUUCAAUUAUUUCUUAUUUUUAAUAAUUUUUUUGUCACUUUUACGGUGCCAAUAACAUCGGCCACCAUCACCAC
rnacentral:lncRNA from 1 species